rnacentral:rRNA from 1 species
UACGGGGGAGCAAGCGUUGUUCGGAUUUACUGGGCGUAAAGGGCGCGUAGGCGGUCGUGACAAGUCACUUGUGAAAUCUCCGGGCUUAACUCGGAACGGUCAAGUGAUACUGUCGGACUAGAGUACAGAAGGGGCAACUGGAAUUCUCGGUGUAGCGGUGAAAUGCGUAGAUAUCGAGAGGAACACCUGCGGCGAAGGCGGGUUGCGUGGGCUGAUACUGACGCUGAGGCGCGAAGCCAGGGAGCGAACGGG